GGGUCAGUAGGUUGGUCGUGCCACCGGUACGUACUGGUCUCACUGAUUCCUCCUUCCUGAAGAACCGUAAUGCCAUUAAUUUGGUGUUGCGGGGAAACAGGACUGUUACUUUGAAAAAAUUAGAGUGUUUAAAGCAAGCUAACGCUUGAAUACAUUAGCAUGGAAUAAUCAACUAGGCCGAUCGAUCCUAUUUUGUUGGUUUCUAGGAUUGACGUA
rnacentral:rRNA from 1 species